rnacentral:rRNA from 1 species
UACGUAGGGCGCAAGCGUUAUCCGGAAUUAUUGGGCGUAAAGAGCUCGUAGGCGGUUUGUCGCGUCUGCUGUGAAAAACUCGGGGCUUAACCCCCGGGCCUGCAGUGGGUACGGGGCAGACUAGAGUGCGGUAGGGGGAGACUGGAAUUCCUGGUGUAGCGGUGAAAUGCGCAGAUAUCAGGAGGAACACCGGUGGCGAAGGCGGGUCUCUGGGGCCGAUACUGACGCUGAGGAGCGAAAAGCGUGGGGGAGCGAACAGG